AAGCCAGCCAAUUAAUUUGUCUCUUACAAAGUUUCUGUAGAAAUUUAGAAAAAGCUGGCAAUAGUAAUAAUGCCAUACUAUAAGCCCUAGGACAAUGCCAGACAUUAAGGUCCCUAAAGUGGCUACAAUA
ensembl:snoRNA Gm22772 predicted gene, 22772